CUCGGAGUGGAGCAGGGGAAGCUCGUCUGGCUCAUAACCAGAAGGUCGUUGGUUCAAAUCCAGCCUCCGCAACCA
rnacentral:tRNA from 1 species